rnacentral:rRNA from 1 species
CAGUCGCCACGGUAAUACGAAGGGGGCUAGCGUUGUUCGGAUUUACUGGGCGUAAAGCGCACGUAGGCGGAUUGUUAAGUUAGGGGUGAAAUCCCAGGGCUCAACCCUGGAACUGCCUUUAAUACUGGCAAUCUCGAGUCCGGAAGAGGUGAGUGGAAUUCCGAGCGUAGAGGUGAAAUUCGUAGAUAUUCGGAGGAACACCAGUGGCGAAGGCGACUCUCUGGUCUGUAACUGACGCUGAGGAGCGAAAGCGUGGGGAGCGAACAGAAUUAGAUACCCGAGUAGUCCCUGUCUCUUAUAC